UACGUAGGUGGCAAGCGUUGUCCGGAUUUAUUGGGCGUAAAGCGCGCGCAGGCGGUUAUGCAAGUCUGGUGUUAAAGCCCGGAGCUCAACUCCGGUUCGCAUCGGAAACUGUGUAGCUUGAGUGCAGAAGAGGAAAGCGGUAUUCCACGUGUAGCGGUGAAAUGCGUAGAGAUGUGGAGGAACACCAGUGGCGAAGGCGGCUUUCUGGUCUGUAACUGACGCUGAGGCGCGAAAGCUAGGGGAGCAAACGGG
rnacentral:rRNA from 1 species